GUAAACGAUGAGUGCUAAGUGUUGGAGGGUUUCCGCCCUUCAGUGCUGCAGCUAACGCAUUAAGCACUCCGCCUGGGGAGUACGACCGCAAGGUUGAAACUCAAAGGAAUUGACGGGGGCCCGCACAGGCGGUGGAGCAUGUGGUUUAAUUCGAAGCAACGCGAAGAACCUUACCAGGUCUUGACAUCCUCUGACAACCCUAGAGAUAGGGCUUUCCCUUCGGGGACAGAGUGACAGGUGGUGCAUGGUUGUCGUCAGCUCGUGUCGUGAGAUGUUGGGUUAAGUCCCGCAACGAGCGCAACCCUUGUCGUUAGUUGCCAUCAUUCAGUUGGGCACUCUAGCGAGACUGCCGGUGACAAACCGGAGGAAGGUGGGGAUGACGUCAAAUCAUCAUGCCCCUUAUGACCUGGGCUACACACGUGCUACAAUGGACGGUACAACGAGCAGCGAACUCGCGAGGGCAAGCGAAUCUCUUAAAGCCGUUCUCAGUUCGGAUUGCAGGCUGCAACUCGCCUGCAUGAAGCCGGAAUCGCUAGUAAUCGUGGAUCAGCAUGCCACGGUGAAUACGUUCCCGGGCCUUGUACACACCGCCCGUCACACCACGAGAGUUUGUAACACCCAAAGUCGGUGCGGUAACCUUUUGGAGCCAGCCGCCUAAGGUGGGAUAGAUGAUUGGGGUG
rnacentral:rRNA from 1 species